AUGAACGCUGGCGGCGUGCCUAAUACAUGCAGGUCGAGCGAACAGACGAGGAGCUUGCUCCUCUGACGUUAGCGGCGGACGGGUGAGUAACACGUGAAUAACCUACCUAUAAGACUGGGAUAACUUCGGGAAACCGGAGCUAAUACCGGAUAAUAUAUUGAACCGCAUGGUUCAAUAGUGAAAGACGGUUUUGCUGUCACUUAUAGAUGGAUCCGCGCCGCAUUAGCUAGUUGGUAAGGUAACGGCUUACCAAGGCAACGAUGCGUAGCCGACCUGAGAGGGUGAUCGGCCACACUGGAACUGAGACACGGUCCAGACUCCUACGGGAGGCAGCAGUAGGGAAUCUUCCGCAAUGGGCGAAAGCUUGACGGAGCAACGCCGCGUGAGUGAUGAAGGUCUUCGGAUCGUAAAACUCUGUUAUUAGGGAAGAACAAAUGUGUAAGUAACUAUGCACGUCUUGACGGUACCUAAUCAGAAAGCCACGGCUAACUACGUG
rnacentral:rRNA from 1 species